rnacentral:rRNA from 1 species
AGUAGUUUGAUCCGUGGCUCAGGACGACGCUGGCGGCGUGCCUAACACAUGCAAGUCGAACGGGGGUUUUGCUUCGGUAGAACCCUAGUGGCGAACGGGUGAGUAAUACGUAGGCAACCUACCCCAGAGCGGGGGAUAGCAGUUGGAAACGACUAUUAAUACCGCAUAGGUAAUAGGGAGGCAUCUCCUUAUUAUUAAAGGUGCGUUUGCACCGCUGUGGGAUGGGCUUACGCUGUAUUAGCUAGUUGGUGAGGUAACGGCCCACCAAGGCGAUGAUACAUAGCCGGUCUGAGAGGAUGAACGGCCACAUUGGGACUGAGACACGGCCCAGACUCC